rnacentral:rRNA from 1 species
ACGGGAGGCAGCAGUGGGGAAUAUUGGGCAAUGGGCGAAAGCCUGACCCAGCAACGCCGCGUGAAGGAAGAAGGUUUUCGGAUUGUAAACUUCUGUCCUUGGUGACGAAGGAAGUGACGGUAGCCAAGGAGGAAGCCACGGCUAACUACGUGCCAGCAGCCGCGGUAAUACGUAGGUGGCAAGCGUUAUCCGGAAUUACUGGGUGUAAAGGGAGCGCAGGCGGGACAGCAAGUCAGCGGUGAAAUGUAUGGGCUCAACCCAUGAACUGCCGUUGAAACUGUUGUUCUUGAGUGGAGUAGAGGUAGGCGGAAUUCCGAGUGUAGCGGUGAAAUGCGUAGAUAUUCGGAGGAACACCAGUGGCGAAGGCGGCCUACUGGGCUCUAACUGACGCUGAGGCUCGAAAGUGUGGGGAGCAAACAGGAUUAGAUACCCUGGUA